rnacentral:rRNA from 1 species
UACGUAGGGUGCAAGCGUUGUCCGGAAUUAUUGGGCGUAAAGAGCUCGUAGGCGGUCUGUUGCGUCGGCUGUGAAAACCCGGGGCUCAACCCCGGGCCUGCAGCCGAUACGGGCAGACUAGAGUUCGGCAGGGGAGACUGGAAUUCCUGGUGUAGCGGUGAAAUGCGCAGAUAUCAGGAGGAACACCGAGUCGGAAGGCGGUCUCUGGGCAUAACUGACGCUGAGGAGCGAAAGCGGAGGGAGAACAGG